UGGGGAAUAUUGCACAAUGGGCGCAAGCCGGAUGCAGACAUGCCGCGUGUAUGAAGAAGGCCUUCGGGUUGUAAAGUACUUUCAGCGGGGAGGAAGGGAGUAAAGGUAAUACCGUUGCUCAUUGACGUGACCCGCAGAAGAAGCACCGGCGAACUCCGUGCCAGCAGCCGCGGGAAUACGGAGGGUGCAAGCGUUAAUCGGAAUUACUGGGCGGAAAGCGCACGCAGGCGGUUUGUUAAGUCAGAUGUGAAAUCCCCGGGCUCAACCUGGGACCUGCAUCUGAUACUGGCAAGCUUGAGUCUCGUAGAGGGGGGUAGAAUUCCAGGUGUAGCGGUGAAAUGCGUCGAGAUCUGGAGGAAUACCGGUGGCGAAGGCGGCCCCCUGGCCGAAGACUGACGCUCAGGUGCGAAAGCGUGGGUAGCAAACCGG
rnacentral:rRNA from 1 species